rnacentral:rRNA from 1 species
UGUCAUAUCACAUAAGCGUUGGAAAAGAAACUAACAAGGAUUCCCUUAGUAACGGCGAGUGAAGCGGGAAGAGCUCAAAUUUGAAAUCUUCAAGGUUUUACCUUGACGAAUUGUAGUUUAAAGAAGUGUUUUCUGUUGAAGUUUUGGUAAAAGUUCUUUGGAAUAGGACAUCAUAGAGGGUGAGAAUCCCGUAUUUGACCAUUAUUUUCAGCUGUGUGAUACACUUUCAAAGAGUCGGAUUGUUUGGGAAUGCAGUCCAAAAUGGGUGGUAAAUUUCAUCUAAAGCUAAAUAUUGGCGAGAGACCGAUAGCGAACAAGUACCGUGAGGGAAAGAUGAAAAGAACUUUGAAAAGAGAGUUAAACAGUACGUGAAAUUGUCAAAAGGGAAGCGUUUGACACCAGUGUUGUUUUCUCGAAAAUCAAUUAAAAAGAGUUGGAUUUUGUGUUGUAUUGACCUUAACAGCUUGCUUCACUCUUUUCCUGCUUUUUUUAAUGCACUUUUCGUUUAACAAGUCAACAUCAGUUUCUUUUGUUGUAAAAGGGUCAUUGGAAGGUGGCUUUCUCUUCGGAGAAAGUGUUUAUAGCCUUUGAUCUCUGCAAUCGGAGAGACUGAGGUCUGCAGCGUAGAUCCUUCGGGGUUAGAUACAUUUGUGCUAAGCUACAGCUUUUCAUAGACAACUUGUUGACUAUGUUUAGUCUUGUGACUUACCCGCUUAUGCUAUUUUACCUACGCUUAGGAUGUUGACAAAAUGGUUUUAAACGACCCGUCUUAAAACAACNGAAACAAAAA